UGAAAGCGGACCAGUAGUGUGACCACUGA
rnacentral:piRNA from 1 species